GAUGAACGCUAGCGGCGGGCCUAACACAUGCAAGUCGAGGGAGAAGGCCUUUCGGGGGCAGAAACCUGCACACGGGUGCGUAACGCGUAUGCAACCUACCUUUCACCGGGGGAUAGGCCGACGAAAUUUGGAUUAGUACCCCAUAAUAUUAUUAGAUCGCUUCACAUGAUUAUUAAGACUGCGGUGGUGAAAGAUGGGCAUGCGUCCUAUUAGCUAGUUGGAGUGGUAACGGCACGCGAAGGCUACGAUCGGUAGGGGUCGUGAGAGGGAGAGCCCCGAGACUGGGACUGAGACCAGGACCAGACUGCUACGGGCGGUAGCAGUGAGGAAGAUAGGUACAUGGUCGGAAGCCUGAACCGGCCAUGCCGUGUGCAGGAAGAAUGCCUUAUGGGUUGUAGACUGCUGUGAUAUGGGAAGGAUAGGGCGUAAGUGUACGUUAGUGACGGUAACAUAUGAAUAAGCAUCGGCUAACUACGUG
rnacentral:rRNA from 1 species